rnacentral:rRNA from 1 species
UACGGAGGGUGCAAGCGUUAUCCGGAUUCACUGGGUUUAAAGGGUGCGUAGGAGGGCAGGUAAGUCAGUGGUGAAAUCCUAGAGCUUAACUCUAGAACUGCCGUUGAUACUAUCUGUCUUGAAUAUUGUGGAGGUGAGCGGAAUAUGUCAUGUAGCGGUGAAAAUGCUUUAGAUAUGACAUAGAACACCAAUUGCGAAAGGCAGCUCGCUACACAUAUAUUUGACUCUGAGGCACGAAAAGCGUGGGGGAUCAA